GACGAACGCUGGCGGCGUGCUUAACACAUGCAAGUCGAACGGAAAGGCCUCUUUCGGGGGGUACUCGAGUGGCGAACGGGUGAGUAACACGUGAGUAACCUGCCCUUGACUUUGGGAUAACUUCAGGAAACUGGGGCUAAUACCGGAUAGGAGCUCCUGCUGCAUGGUGGGGGUUGGAAAGUUUCGGCGGUUGGGGAUGGACUCGCGGCUUAUCAGCUUGUUGGUGGGGUAGUGGCUUACCAAGGCUUUGACGGGUAGCCGGCCUGAGAGGGUGACCGGCCACAUUGGGACUGAGAUACGGCCCAGACUCCUACGGGAGGCAGCAGUGGGGAAUAUUGCACAAUGGGUGGAAGCCUGAUGCAGCAACGCCGUGUGGGGGAUGACGGCCUUCGGGUUGUAAACCGCUUUCGCUCAUGACGAAGCUUUGUGUGACGGUAGUGGGUAAAGAAGCACCGGCUAACUACGUG
rnacentral:rRNA from 1 species